CCUUUGCGCAAAAACUCCUUUCCUCCUCUCCUCCCUACCCCUAAACCCUAGCCGCCGCCGCCGCCUCUGCCUACAGCCUACCCCUCGCGUCGUCGCCGUCACGUCCACCUCCGCUGCUGUCGGCGAGGCGAGCAGCCAUCUCCGCCUCGGCGGCCGGCGUCGCCGACCGCCGCUGCUUCCGCCUUUGCCUCACGCCUCCGGCUGCCGGCGUCCGGAUCCGACGUCCAUGUGGUCGGGGGACGCGGAUCUGAGCUCCCCCCCGUGCGCCGGACAGCGUCUCCGCCUCGGCCGUCGCCGAGCAUCGCCACUUCUGCCUCCGCUUCGUUCUGCCACUGUCGAACGCCACCGCCGUAGCACCCACCCUCCGCUGCCGUCGCCAUCGCCGAGCACCCCUGCUGCGUCCUUCACCACCAUCGUCGACGGCCGCUGCUCCGCGCUCCGUUGCUGCUGCCAUCAAGAAGCGACGGUGGUGACAGAGCCGGCAUCAAUGAAGGUGGUGGCUGCGGCGAGAAGAGGAGAACCAUCCGUCGCCAGGCUGAUCUGCCGAUGAACUCGGGCAGCAACAUGGUCGGUGGCCGCCGUUACCUCCUUCCCCAGCGUCGCCUCCAUCGUCCUCCCUGCCUCGACGGCCAUGGCGGGCGGCAGUGUGGUUGACUGUGGCAUAUGUUCGAUUCAGGCAAAAGCAGAGAGGUGCCCUCCCUCCCCUUUCUCUCCCAUCUCUCCAUAGAUCUCUCUCUCUCUCUCUCUCUCUCUCUCUCUCUCUCUCUCUCUCUCUCUCUCUCUCAAGGGCAGAGAGGGAACCUCUGCGCGGCAAAGGCGACGUUGGGUGCAGGAUGGACCUACGGUGGAGGAGGAGGAUGGCUGAGCGGCGGCGGCGGGGGAGAGGGAGAGGGUGAGACGAGAGGAAUGAGGUGCUGUUGUGACGUUGUGUACUCUUUUCACUGCAUGUGUUGUCGUAGUCUCGCUGGGAAUGGAGCGGGGGAGAUGGGGUGUUGCCAGCGACAGCUGCAGGACUUGUCAUCGGCAUGGACCAAAGAGGCACAUAAUAAUAAGUCUGAAAUCUCAAUCUCCACUCUUUUUCUUUCUCACUUUUUACAUGCUCAUGUUGUUAUUGUCCUGUUCUUACCUUACAGUUGCAGCGUACUAACUUAUAUCUAAUGGAACUUGCACUUGCAUUAGUAAUCUGAUUAUUUAUCAUCAUAGACACAUGAAAAACUGAUGUUUUCUCCCCUCCUGAUUUCUAGGAUUCUUCCAGAAAAUGUGGCAACUCUUUCGUCUCACCAUGAGACAAAAGAAAAGGUUCUUUCAUACUCUGAUGCUUCUGAUGUUCUUAGAUAUGCUUUUACUAUGACAGAAGCUGCAAUCGAUCAUGAGUAUGAGAGAUAAUUGUUGAUGGAUGAGGAGCUGAGCUUGGCGGUGGAGCACGGCAUGCUGCUCCGGGAGGAGUGUUCCAUCGUCUUCACGUUCAUCAAUCGGAGGCCUACACUCCCGCCGCCGAGGCCGCUGUGAUGCUGGGAUUUCUUUGGUUGCUUUCUGCCCUGGCAAUAACAUGUAUGUGAGCUAUUCAUCUGCUGAUAGAAGACAGAGCAAAAACUCUAAUACAUGUGAACGGCCGGAAAAAGUUUUUGGAGUGCACCGGUUCACAGAUCAGAGGCCAUGGUUUUCAAUUUUAUUUUUCACUCAUCGCAUUGCUCCUACAUCGAAAAACAAGCCAGCACAAAGUUUACAAGGUCUGCACAUCAAACUAACAAAUGUACCACAAUCGAAGAAUUAUCUCCUAAGAAAAAGCAUGUCGUUCUAACAUCAGAUGGCACGGAAGAAGAUGUGCAUUCUCUAGAGGUGAACAACAGAUGCAAUAUCACUCGUACAUCAAGUCCAAAAAAUCAGUUUUUGAACGUCAUUUCUGAAGAAAUAAACAUUAAUCUCCUCAACCUGACAUCUCAAACAACUAGCUUCAGUUUCAGUGGUGAGUGUAUCCUUUAGAACUACUUUAGAACUGUUCCUAAUAACUGGUCUUCAGUAUUGGAAAUCUAGGACUGGAGUGAUAUUUUUACAGUUGACGUGAUCCAUCUGGAUUUGUUCAAUUUGUGAAAAAGCAUCUUGCAGCAGAUUGUUUGCUCUCUGUUUCCAAAACCUGGUUCUCCAGAUGAUUUAGCUAUAUUUUGUGCUCAUCAAAGAAAGCAGGGCCUGACCCUCCUGACCAAGUUGUCAGAUAAGGCUUGCACGAGUAGAGUGAAUCUCCUCGUAGCAAAUUUUCAUCGGAUUAUCUCAUAUUAUUAUGUAAAACUAUGAUUUUGUUUUACAUAUAUAUCGGUACAUUCAUCGUGUAAAACUCUGAUUUCAUUUAUAUGCAUCAGUGUUAUGUUAUGUGUAAUUCCUACUCUAUUGUUCGUGUUGGCAAAUUGAUCAUAGAAGAUUGAAGAUGUUUGGACAUGUUA